GCCAGGAGUGGUGGUGCACGCCUGUAAUCCCAACAACUGAGGAGGCUGAGGCAGGAGGGGAUAAGUUCAAGGCCAGCCUGGCAACUGAACAUGACCCUGUCUUAA
rnacentral:sRNA from 1 species